rnacentral:rRNA from 1 species
GCGCGCGGCGGGCGGGGCGGGGGCACGGGGGGCCUACGGGAGGCAGCAGUGAGGAAUAUUGGACAAUGGGCGGGAGCCUGAUCCAGCCAUGCCGCGUGCAGGAAGACUGCCCUAUGGGUUGUAAACUGCUUUUAUACAGGAAGAAUAAGCCUUACGUGUAAGGUGAUGACGGUACUGUAAGAAUAAGGACCGGCUAACUCCGUGCCAGCAGCCGCGGUAAUACGGAGGGUCCGAGCGUUAUCCGGAAUUAUUGGGUUUAAAGGGUCCGUAGGCGGAUGAUUAAGUCAGGGGUGAAAGUUUGCAGCUCAACUGUAAAAUUGCCUUUGAUACUGGUUAUCUUGAGUUGUAUUGAAGUAGGCGGAAUAUGUAGUGUAGCGGUGAAAUGCAUAGAUAUUACAUAGAACACCAAUUGCGAAGGCAGCUUACUAAGUACUAACUGACGCUGAUGGACGAAAGCGUGGGUAGCGAACAGGAYUAGAUACCCUGGUAGUCCACGCCGUAAACGAUGGAUACUAGCUGUUCGGGACCUUGAGUUCUGAGCGGCUAAGCGAAAGUGAUAAKUUCCCACCUGGGGAGUACGUUCGCAAGAAUGAUACUCAAUGAAUUGACGG